CCAACAAAUUUUAAUCUUACCCACUUCAUGCUUUUCGUUUUUCAACUCUUAUAUUCAAUUAUUUCGAAAUGGGUUUUCUAUUCCUGUUUGUUCUACCAAUUGGGCUACUUGUUCUUCGUGAAUUUUAGUUUGAAAUUAGGGUUUAUGUUGUUGAACUCAAUAAAGGUUUUUUUUUCUUUCUUUGGAUAACUCAAUUAAGGUUAUUGGUUUAAGGGGCGUAUGAAAUUAAGGUUAUGUUGUUGUCUCAAUAAAGGCCAUUUCUCAUUCUAUGUUCAAUUUUUUUUAUUAAGGGGAAUUCUCAGGUGUUCAUUCGGAUUUGGUGCAUUUAUUGUGUUGCAUUUCAACUGUCUGAUCUCAAAUUAAUGACCGAGAUUGUUUGAAGAUGAUUUUGUUAUUGAAUAAUUUGAGCCGUCUGAUCUCAAUUUAAUAGCUGAGAUCAUUUACGGCAUGCUUAUACUAUAACAUGCAAUUCAGAUUCGUGUUGAUAAUUUUGUUGUAUGAAUGCUAAAAGUAAAACUAAAUUUGGAUUCUAAAGUUUGAAUGGUUAGGGGUGGAAGUAGUCUAAGUCCCACUAGAUUUUAGUUAAAUUGAAUUUAAUAGUCCAAACCUAACCUACGGGGCUAGGGCUCAUAAAGCCUUUCUUUCAUUCAAAAAUAGGGCCCUGGUCGGUCACUUUUCCGGGCCGGGAUCGAUAGAUAAGUGGAAGUCAUAAAAAAGAGAUAUUUCUCUUCGCACCUAAGAUCAAGAGGAAGGGUAGCUUGUCAAGCUGGCCUAUAUAAAAUAUAUUAUUCAUUAUUAUAGAAUCUUUUAGACCUGUCAAUAGCUUGAGCCAACAUUUUUGAUAAACUUGCUUUGACCUGUUUGGUUGUUUAAAGGCUUGUUAUUUGACUUACCUCCAAGUAAGUUAAAGGACUAAUAGGUCAAAGAGGAAGACAUUUAUGAAUGAUAACGCCUUUAAAGAGUAAUGAGAGAUUAAGAUAGGAAGAAAGCUCACUGAUUGAGAUUGAUGGAAGAUGAUGAUGACUGAUGAAGACGGGGGUUGAAACGAGAGAGGCUGUUGUAAGGGGCACAGGGAAUGAGUGAUAGUGUUAGGGUUUCUGAAAUGUGAGAGGAUUAAGAUUUCUAAAACUUUUAACCUUUUAAUCCUUUAACCAUCCCGCUCUCUUUUUAAGAAACAACGUUGCAACACGAGUCUUAUUGGGUUGGCCAGGUUCAUGUUCCGACGAAUUUGUUUAAUACAAUCCAAGCUUGCUGGCCACCCGAUCACAUUCGUGCCGUUUACACAUGUUUCCUCUCGGGUUAGUCAGAUUUCAGGCUGGCCUGAUGAAGUGUCCAGCCCUAUAUGCAUUAUGCUGUUGUACUUUUCUCCUAGAAUUUGUACUGCAAAAUAAGAAUGUGUAGCAUUUGGUCCACAAGCACAUUAACUUUACUAUUACUCUUUGAGAAAUUGAAAGCUUUUGACAAACUAAAGAUAUUUUAGAAAAGGUGACUUUGGGAGCUGAUGGCAUGCUAUGUGAAAUAUGGGAAUUGUGUUUGCUGAGAUGGAUAGCAGCUAAAGGCAUUUAGCGCAAUAUGCAUGUAGUUAAAUGUAGAGGGGACAAUGGUCAGAGAAAAAUUUCCUGACAAUAGCUAUGCUUUUAGAAUUAUUUGUAUUUUCUGUUUGUUUUCUUUUAUACCAUGUGAUCAUGAGAGUUCAUGUUAGACAACCGAUUCUAUUUUUUCGUUUAAAAUGUCAAUGGACCAAAAGAAAGAUUUAUAAGGAUUUUGUAAAUUGUGAUAUAACUGCAUUAGCAUUAGCCUGUCUUUUAUAAAUAUAUAAAAUUAGAUCUAGAGAAAGAGACCAUAGUAUGCAUCUUGGACUUGCAUUUCUGCCUGGCCAAUCAUGUGAGGUAUAUAACAUAUGGCCAGUUAGGAGCCUCCUCGGUGAAUUAUAACCCAAGGCAAUUGCAAAUGCCUGACAAAUAUGUAUCCUUUACAAUUUGGUAAGGUUCUAAAACCUCUUCAUGGUACUCCACUGGGCCAUCUUCUAAAGUAACAUUGAACUAACUACUUUGGUCUAGGAUUAUCCAAACCUUGUAAGGAUCACUUUGGUGUUGGUCAUAUAAUAUCCCUAGUUGAUGCAGGAUCUUGACACAUCCCUUCACGCGUUGGACUGAACACUUAGAGCAUGGACAACAACAGGUGGCCCCAGUAAUGUAUCUAGGAUAGGCUCACAAACUAGCUUAAGAGAUUAAAAGGCAGAUACGUUCAGCAGAGAGCAGUGUGAAAGAAUAUUUUUUUGGAUCAAAGACAGAAUCUCACGAAAUAGACAGCAACAAGGAUCAUCCAUAAAUUCAUGGUCAAUCUUGUACAUGAAAAUUAUUCUGAGUUAAGAUUUUCUUUUAGCCUUGUGAAUGUCUUCAGUUCACAAUAUAAAGGAACGGUUCAAUAGACUAGAGGCCGAGAAUUUGUAAACGGUAUUAACUAUCAUAAUUGACUUUCCACCACUACCAAUGUCAUCAAUCAGACAAUAAUAUCAUAAUCACGUUUUAUGGUGCAUCCCA